rnacentral:rRNA from 1 species
CGCCCGGGGCGCGCCCCGGGCGGGGCGGGGGCACGGGGGGAACGCGAAGAACCUUACCAGGUCUUGACAUCCCUCUGACCGCUCUAGAGAUAGAGUUUUCCUUCGGGACAGAGGUGACAGGUGGUGCAUGGUUGUCGUCAGCUCGUGUCGUGAGAUGUUGGGUUAAGUCCCGCAACGAGCGCAACCCCUAUUGUUAGUUGCCAUCAUUUAGUUGGGCACUCUAGCGAGACUGCCGGUAAUAAACCGGAGGAAGGUGGGGAUGACGUCAAAUCAUCAUGCCCCUUAUGACCUGGGCUACACACGUGCUACAAUGGCUGGUACAACGAGUCGCAAGUCGGUGACGGCAAGCUAAUCUCUUAAAGCCAGUCUCAGUUCGGAUUGUAGGCUGCAACUCGCCUACAUGAAGUCGGAAUCGCUAGUAAUCGCGGAUCAGCACGCCGCGGUGAAUACGUUCCCGGGCCUUGUACACACCGUCCGUCACACCAUGGGAGUGGGUUGCACCAGAAGUAGCUAGUCUAACCCUCGGGAGGACGGUUACCACGGUGUGAUUCAUGACUGGGGUGAAGUCGUAACAAGGUAGCCGUAGAGUUUGAUCAUGGCUCAGUAAGUCGUAACAAGGUAACCGUAGAGUUUGAUCAUGGC